rnacentral:rRNA from 1 species
UCGAGGGGUAUAGAUUUUCGGACCUAGAGACCGGCGCACGGGUGCGUAACGCGUAUGCAAUCUACCUUUCACAGAGGGAUAGCCCAGAGAAAUUUGGAUUAAUACCUCAUAGUAUAACGACUCGGCAUCGAGAUGUUAUUAAAGUCACAACGGUGAAAGAUGAGCAUGCGUCCCAUUAGCUUGUUGGUAAGGUAACGGCUUACCAAGGCUACGAUGGGUAGGGGUCCUGAGAGGGAGAUCCCCCACACUGGUACUGAGACACGGACCAGACUCCUACGGGAGGCAGCAGUGAGGAAUAUUGGUCAAUGGACGCAAGUCUGAACCAGCCAUGCCGCGUGCAGGAUGACGGUCCUAUGGAUUGUAAACUGCUUUUGUACAGGAAGAAACAGUUCUACGUGUAGAACCUUGACGGUACUGUAAGAAUAAGGAUCGGCUAACUCCGUGCCAGCAGCCGCGGUAAUACGGAGGAUCCAAGCGUUAUCCGGAAUCAUUGGGUUUAAAGGGUCCGUAGGCGGUUUAGUAAGUCAGUGGUGAAAGCCCAUCGCUCAACGGUGGAACGGCCAUUGAUACUGCUAAACUUGAAUUAUUAGGAAGUAACUAGAAUAUGUAGUGUAGCGGUGAAAUGCUUAGAGAUUACAUGGAAUACCAAUUGCGAAGGCAGGUUACUACUAAUGGAUUGACGCUGAUGGAC